rnacentral:rRNA from 1 species
GGCUCGUCUGAGGGCAUGCCUGCCUGAGCGUCCCU